AGAGGCUGGAAUCGGAUCAGCGUUCCCUGGGAAUUGGUCAAUCGCCGGUGCUUAAACAUCGCUUUCACCAACCCCUGAAAUAUUUGAGCUGAAUGAGAAUCUUCACUCUUAGCAAGCACGUUAAGAUUGGAAUGUACAAAAAAUACAAUGGAGUAUCAGAAAUAGUAGUGCAGUUUCUUUUCCUUGUGAAGCUUUUUUUCCUGUAAGAUAGUGGGAAUAAGUUGGCUUCUCAUUAGUCUUUUUGUGGAUAUGUUUGUUGUAGAUGUUGCUUUAUUGGCAGCUAUUCAGUCUCUAGUAUGGUGUGUUUGGUGUUAUAUAUAUGGGAUGUUGUGGUUUGAAUAAAGCAGCAAUGGAUGGAAGAA